GACGAACGCUGGCGGCGUGCUUAACACAUGCAAGUCGAACGAUGAAGCCUAGCUUGCUUGGUGGUUUAGUGGCGAACGGGUGAGUAAUACGUGAGUAACCUACCUUUAACUCUGGGAUAAGCCUGGGAAACUGGGUCUAAUACCGGAUACGACCAAUCUCCGCAUGGGGUGUUGGUGGAAAGCGUUAUGUAGUGGUUAUAGAUGGGCUCACGGCCUAUCAGCUUGUUGGUGAGGUAACGGCUCACCAAGGCGACGACGGGUAGCCGGCCUGAGAGGGUGACCGGCCACACUGGGACUGAGACACGGCCCAGACUCCUACGGGAGGCAGCAGUGGGGAAUAUUGCACAAUGGGCGCAAGCCUGAUGCAGCGACGCCGCGUGAGGGAUGACGGCCUUCGGGUUGUAAACCUCUGUUAGCAGGGAAGAAGAGAAAUUGACGGUACCUGCAGAGAAAGCGCCGGCUAACUACGUG
rnacentral:rRNA from 1 species